rnacentral:rRNA from 1 species
GAUGAACGCUGGCGGCGUGCCUAAUACAUGCAAGUCGAGCGAACUGAUUAGAAGCUUGCUUCUAUGACGUUAGCGGCGGACGGGUGAGUAACACGUGGGCAACCUGCCUGUAAGACUGGGAUAACUUCGGGAAACCGAAGCUAAUACCGGAUAGGAUCUUCUCCUUCAUGGGAGAUGAUUGAAAGAUGGUUUCGGCUAUCACUUACCGAUGGGCCCGCGGUGCAUUAGCUAGUUGGUGAGGUAACGGCUCACCAAGGCAACGAUGCAUAGCCGACCUGAGAGGGUGAUCGGCCACACUGGGACUGAGACACGGCCCAGACUCCUACGGGAGGCAGCGGUAGGGAAUCUUCCGCAAUGGACGAAAGUCUGACGGAGCAACGCCGCGUGAGUGAUGAAGGCUUUCCGGUCGUAAAACUCUGUUGUUAGGGAAGAACAAGUACAAGAGUAACUGCUUGUACCUUGACGGUACCUAACCAGAAAGCCACGGCUAACUACGUGCCAGCAGCCGCCGUAAUAC